CACGUGUUUCUGUGCGUCUGUUGUACGUUUGCCUUUGUUCCUUUGCCUCCGCAGUCCGUGUUCCCAACCCUCUUGCAUCUCCUUUUCUGCAGGGGGCCUUGAGCUUUGGGGUGAAUAUACUCAACAUGUGACCCUGAGUUUCUGCUUCAGUGAGUCUGGGGUAGAACCAAGGAAUAGGCACAUCUGCAACCUGAGAUGUUGAUUCUGCGGAUCCAAAAUGCUCUACGGUUGUUUUCAUCAUGAGUUAGAAAUACAGAUAUUGGGUUCAUUGUUGAUGGAGUGUCUGUCUCUCUCCCGAAGUACCUGAUUGGACUUCAGCUGGCCAUGAAUUUGUGAUUGUGCCUUAGCCCUGAGAAGCUGGAAUUACAGGCCUGUGCCAUCAGUUUUAGCUAGGAAUUCUCGAGCAUAGGGCCAUUGAUACUUGAGGUCAGCAAAGCUGAGGAAGACAGGUGUGCACAUGACAGAAAGUUUAUCUGCUUCUUUGGCUUCACCGACUCCAUUAACAGCAUGCCCUGAUUGUGACAACCAAAUAUGGCCCCAGCCACUACAGCCAUGCUCUGCCAUGGAAUCAGUCGAAGAUCUCACGACCUCAGACCUACUUGAAUGUACGUGGACUGACAACAAAACGAUCCUCUUAAAAAGAUCAUCCUCAAGAAAUUCAAGUCGACGUGUCUUCAAGUUUAAAACUCCCACUGCUACCCACGAUUGCUGUUGCCUUAAAUGUAAUCAUUUUUCUGGUUGUCACUUUUUAUGACACUGACAUAUUUGAAGCCCAAAUAAAACCAGUUUUGAACUUU